rnacentral:rRNA from 1 species
AUGAACGUUGGCGGUACGCCUAACACAUGCAAGUCGAACGAUGAUAGAGAGCUUGCUCCCUUGAUUAGUGGCGCACGGGUGAGUAUACCAUAGAUAAUGUACCUCUUAGUUCGGGAUAGCCACUGGAAACGGUGAUUAAUACCGGAUACUCCUUCUUACUCUAAGGUAAGUCGGGAAAGUUUUUUCGCUAAGAGAUCAGUCUAUGUCCUAUCAGCUAGUUGGUGAGGUAAUGGCUCACCAAGGCUAUGACGGGUAUUUGGUUUGAGAGGGUGAUCAGACACACUGGAACUGAGACACGGUCCAGACUCCUACGGGAGGCAGCAGUGAGGAAUAUUGCACAAUGGAGGAAACUCUGAUGCAGCAACGCCGCGUGGAGGAUGACGCAUUUCGGUGUGUAAACUCCUUUUAAGAGGGAAGAUAAUGACGGUACCUCUUGAAUAAGCACCGGCUAACUCCGU